CACGAAGUUAGCCGGGGCUUCUUCUCCGGUUACCGUCAUUAUCUUCACCGGUGAAGAGCUUUACAACCCUAGGGCCUUCAUCACUCACGCGGCAUGGCUGGAUCAGGCUUGCGCCCAUUGUCCAAUAUUCCCCACUGCUGCCUCCCGUAGGAGUUUGGGCCGUGUCUCAGUCCCAAUGUGGCUGAUCAUCCUCUCAGACCAGCUAUGGAUCGUCGCCUUGGUAGGCCUUUACCCACCAACUAGCUAAUCCAACGCGGGCUCAUCCAACUCCGAUAAAUCUUUCCCCCGAAGGGCGUAUACGGUAUUAGCACAAGUUUCCCUGAGUUAUUCCGUAGAGUUGGGUAGAUUCCCACGCGUUACUCACCCGUCUGCCACUCCCCUUGCGGGGCGUUCGACUUGCAUGUGUUAAGCCUGCCGCCAGCGUUCGUUCUGAGCCAGGAUCAAACUACU
rnacentral:rRNA from 1 species